rnacentral:lncRNA from 1 species
GCCGGCGGCGCUCCUGCCCGCUGAUUCGCAGCUGCCCGCGGCUCCCACGCUCUACUGCCCGGGUCCCUGCCCCGCGAGGCGCCCAAUUACCCGCUUACCUUCUGCCCUCACACCUGGCCUCCCGAAAGGCGCUUUCGUUGUCUCCGCCAGGCGGUGCAGUAGCUGAUGGAGAUGAAAGGCGUGAGGAGCUGCUUUGAGGACCAAAGCCGCGACAUCCCACCACCUGGCCAAGAGCACUGUUCGUGACCGACCCCUUGCCCUAAAUACCCGUCUGUAUUGCUCGGGACCCGCAGGAGCGACUCUCUGAAAGCGGCUGGCUCUGUGGGCCGGGGCGCUUCCCAGGGACUGGCCGCUGCUAUGUCUUUGCUUUAGGAGCCGAAGUGAAGCGACGGAAGACUGCUGUUGGUGCCUCCUGCGGUACCUGAACACGGGAGCGACCGGCGCGGGAUGCAGGGCGGUGACGCUAAAGCUUGUGCUUCUUUCUUCAGUGAAGGGACACAGCCACCUUGAGUUCCUGGACAGGAAAAGGGCUUCGAACGCCAAGAGCAAGGAUGGAGGCACUGAGAUGGAAAGCAGUUUUCAGCAAAGGAGGAAAAGCUUGGGAGCCUGGCAUUCACAGGGGUGUCUGCGGGCAUGUCUGCCCGAGGUCUGGGAGCAGGAAUGACAAGAGACCUCACACUCGGCAGCCUGGGGGCAGCUCCGGGGACCAGGAGCCGGGCCUUCGGAAGGAAAGAUCCCCGGGUCCCGGAGACAGCGGCUACACCACACAGGGCAGACGACCCGACUCCGACUGAACAGGUACGGCUGAAAGAGACCUCACGUGCCCUGGGUGGCACUGCACUGACCGACAGCUCUCAUCCCACAUUUGCCUGAACCCAGAGAAUGACAACGCCAAGAGCGAGCCCUGCUGCAGACCGUGGACUCUGGUCGUCUGGGUAGGUUCUGAGUGUGUGUGUGUGUGGGGGGGGGGGCGCGUUGGUAAUGGGGAGACUGUGCGAGCGGGGACAUGGGUGGACUUUAUUGGGAACCCCUGGACUUUCCUGUCCAUGUUGCUGUGAACCUUCAACUGCACCAAAAACUAAAAUCUAUUAAAAAAUACGUUAUAACCGCCACUUAGGAUAAUGCAGAUUUUCUUGCUCUUUCCAGAACCUCCAGAGACAGCUGUAAGAAAAUGAAUUGACUUUUGCUCAAAACACAGAAAUCCUCAGAACCAAAAAUAAUCCCAGGAAGGAAAUAAAAUACAAGACACGCAGAACUCCGCA